UUUUGAUAAAAUUAAUGGCACAUAUAUAACCUAGUAAGUUAAGAAAUCAUAAUGCAGUACAAGAAACUUUCCGGAUCAACCACAAUAUCUAAAAGAUCAAUGACUUGUAGAAUCUGCUUCUGCAAAGUGACCACUUCUCAUUUCAAUAGUUGUGAGUUGUCUUGUUUUCUGCAAAUCAUUUCUAUCUCUCUCUCUCUCUUUAUUUCUCCGGUGACGGCAUAGCUCGGGUUGCGGCUUAGGGCUUCGCUUCCUCUGUUUUUUCCGAUCAGGAGAUACAUACGCACUUUGACAAAAAGGACAAGAGAAGAUGGGCUUGGGUCAGGGGAAUUCUUUGGUUUCGGGCUAAACGUGUAAUGGGCCACAGUGAAAAAAAGAAGUUUAAUGUAAGAAAAAAAAACUUAGUAUAGAUUUACUUUGGAUGUUUCAUAAAUAUCAAAAAUUUAUACCGCGAACAAUUUUUUUAAAAACAGUUACUUACAGUUACCACUAAGAGGACUAUGAGGUGUAGUCAACCCACGUUUCUGAAAUCACUCCGAUUUCUAUUGAA
rnacentral:lncRNA from 1 species